rnacentral:lncRNA from 1 species
GAAUAAUUUUAAGCUUUUUAGCAACCAAAUUAAACAAAACGAACUAGAUGGAUAAAUCUUUAGAUAUCACUGAUAUUUGACAUAAAUAUUCGUAUCAACAAAAACCAAAAACUAGUUAAACUAAUAUUGAAACAAGUUUUUAUUAUAAUUUAUUUUAAAAAGAAUUUAAAUCAUCCAAAAUCUAUAGAAAAAUAAAUCAAAUCCGAUCUAAAUCAAAUUCCUUUUUCUAA